UACGUAGGCAGCAAGCGUUGUUCGGAAUUACUGGGCGUAAAGAGCUCGUAGGCGGUCUGUCGCGUCGGAUGUGAAAACCCAGGGCUCAACCCUGGGCCUGCAUUCGAUACGGGCAGACUAGAGUUCGGUAGGGGAGACUGGAAUUCCUGGUGUAGCGGUGAAAUGCGCAGAUAUCAGGAGGAACACCGGUGGCGAAGGCGGGUCUCUGGGCCGAAACUGACGCUGAGGAGCGAAAGCGUGGGGAGCAAACAGG
rnacentral:rRNA from 1 species